rnacentral:misc_RNA from 1 species
CGCACCUUGCGCUCCUUGGUAUUCCUUGGAGCAUGCCUGUUUGAGUAUCAUGAAAUUCUCAGAGUAAAUCUUUUGUUCGUUCAAUCGACUUUGCUUCUGGACUUGGGGGUCUGCAGAUGCAAAUCUGCUCCUCUUAAAUGCAUUAGCUGGAUCUCAGUGAGCCUGGUUCCACUCGGCGUGAUAAGUAUCAUUCGCUGAGGACACCCCCUCAAAAGGGUGGCCAGGAGUGCAGAUGAACCGCUUCUAAUAGUCUAUUGAAUUAGACAAACAAAUUUUAAGAUCUGAUCUCAAAUCAGGUAGGACUACCCGCUGAACUUAA